CCUACGGGGGGCAGCAGUGGGGAAUAUUGCACAAUGGGGGAAACCCUGAUGCAGCGACGCCGCGUGAGCGAAGAAGUAUUUCGGUAUGUAAAGCUCUAUCAGCAGGGAAGAAAAUGACGGUACCUGACUAAGAAGCUCCGGCUAAAUACGUGCCAGCAGCCGCGGUAAUACGUAUGGAGCAAGCGUUAUCCGGAUUUACUGGGUGUAAAGGGAGCGCAGGCGGUCCGGCAAGUCUGAUGUGAAAGGCGGGGGCUCAACCCCCGGACUGCAUUGGAAACUGUCGGGCUGGAGUGUCGGAGGGGCAG
rnacentral:rRNA from 1 species